ensembl:lncRNA
UGGGGGGGUAUUAUUUUAUUGUAACAUACAGUAUUGAUAUUUACAUUGAAUAAUAACAGGCGGUGAACAAGAUGUCAGGAGGAAUGCCACAUUUUGUUCCCACUUCAUGACACACAUUCUUUGUAUAUCGUUUCAUUUUACAUUUUUGUGACUGUCCCAUCGAACAAGCUACAACAAAGAUUCCUAAAAUGCAUGGUUGGCAUUAUAUAAAACAAUUGGUAAAUAAUGGUAACUAUUGGUAACUCUAACACUGUGGUGGAGGUUAUGAGGGUGGAUGUUCUGGUAAGGGUCUACCCAGGGAUGGCUCUAGCAGUUUGAAGACCCUAAACGAGAUUUGGUUGCAGGCGAAACAUUUUGGUUCCUCCCCCCUCCUCCGCUCCCGACGGCGGAGAGAAUUUUGUGUGUAGAAUUUUCUUCAAUUCUACACAUUUUGCCAUGACUUACACUUCCAGUUAUUUCAAGGUUUUUUCUUUAUUUUUACUAUUUUCUACAUUGUAGAAUAAUAAUGAAAACAUCAAAACCAUGAAAUAACACAUUUGGAAUCAUUAGUAACCAAAAAAGUGUCAGACAAAUCAAAUAGUCACCCUUUGCCUUCAUGACAGCUUUCCACAUGCUUGGCAUUCUCUCAACCAGCUCCACGAGGUAGUCACCUGGAAUGUAUUUCAAUUGACAGGAUAAUUUGUGGAAUUUGUUUCCUUCUUAAUGCAUUUGAGCCAAUCAGUGUGUUGUGACAAGGUAGGGGAGUAUACAGAACAUAACCCUAUUUGGUAAUAGACCAAGUCCAUAUUAUGGCAAGAACAGCUCAAAUAAGCAAAGAGAAACUACAGUCCAUCAUUACUUUAAGACAUGAAGGUCAGUCGAUACAGAACAUUUCAAGAACUUUGAAAGUUUCUUCAAGUGCAGUCGCAAAAACCAUCAAGCGCAAUGAUUACAUUGGCGCUCAUGAGGACCGCCACAGGAAAGGAAGACUCAUAGUUACCUCUGCUGCAGAGGAUAAGUUCAUUAGAGCUACCAGCCUCAGAAACUGUGUGAAUCAGGCCUUCAUGAUCAAACCACUACUAAAGGACACCAAUAAUAAGAAGAGACUUGCUUGGGCUAAGAAACAUGAGCAAUGAACUUUAGACGGAUCAACAUUUGUCCUAUGGUCUGGAGUCCAAAUUUGAGAUUUUUGGUUCCAACCGCCGUGUCUUUGUGAGACGAGGUGUGGCUGAACGGAUGAUCUCCGCAUGUGUAUUUCCCACCGUAAAGCAUGGAGGAGGUGGUGUGAUGGUGUGGGGGUGCUUUGCUGGUGACACUGUCAGUGAUUUAUUUAGAAUUCAAGGCACAUAACCAGCAUGGUUACCACAGCAUUAUGCAGGGAUACGCCAUCCUACCUGGUUUGGGCUUAGUGGGACUAUCAUUUGUUUUUCAACAGGACAAUGACCCAACACACCUCCAGGCUGUGUAAUAGCUAUUUGACCAAGGAGCGUGAUCAAGUGCUGCAUCAGAUGACCUGACCUCCACAAUCCCACGACCUCAACCAAAUUGAGAUGGUUUGGGAUGAGUCUGACUGCAGAGUGAAGGAAAAGCAGCCAACAAGUGCUCAACAUAUGUGGGAACUCCUUCAAGACGGUUGGAAAAGCAUUCCAAGUGAAGCUGGUUGUGAGAAUGCCAAGAGUGUGCAAAGCUGUCAUCAAGGCAAAGGGUGGAUAUUUGAAGAAUCUCAAAUAUAUAAAAUAUUUUGAUUUGUUUAAUACUUUUUUGGUUACUACAUGAUUCCAUAUGUGUUAUUUCACAGUUUUGAUGUCUUCACUAUUAUUCUACAAUGUUGAAAAUAGUACAAAUAAAGACAAACUCUUGAAUGAGAAGGUGUUCUAAAACUUUUGACCGGUAGUGUAUGCCAUGUUAAUGAUAUCUGAGUGAGAGUGACUAACAAAAUCAAUGAGGAGGGGGCCCUGGAAGUCAGGGCCUCUGGACACGUGCCCUGCGUGCCUGGUCGAUAUUUGACCAUGAUUACUACAAGCUGGCUAGACUAACUUACCAAUCUAACAGUUGUUAGCAGACAAGGCUAAUUGAGUGACUGUCAGUGACUGACAUAAGAGAAAAACUGCUGAUGCACAACCACAUGUCCAACUUGCACCUGGUGUUACUAUUCUUACUCUCCGUGAGUUGAGACCCCGUCUGAACUUAUGUCACUUAUGCCUGGAGCCGGCCCUGGGUCUACCAGACAGAUAGGGGUCUGAUAGAUCAAUCCAUCGAUAGGAGACUAGUUAUGAAGGGUAGGGGUCAAUAAUAGAUCAAUCUAUCGAUAGGAGACUAGUUAUGAAGGGUAGGGGUCAAUAAUAGAUCAAUCCAUCGAUAGGAAACUAGUUAUGAAGGGUUAAGGUAUAGGUUAGGUUAGGUAUUGGGUAGGUUGACGAGGUGAUGGUGUAACACACACAAUGGUCUCUACACACUCAUCAUCGUCAUCAACAACGAUAAACAACCACUAUGGGGUGGAAAUGGGAGACUGAACCUUUCCAUGCAAAUAAAACAACCACUAUGGGGUGGAAAUGGGAGACUGAACCCUUCCAUACAAAUAAAACAACCACUAUGGGGUGGAAAUGGGAGACUGAACCUUUCCAUGCAAAUAAAACAACCACUAUGGGGUGGAAAUGGGAGACUGAACCUUUCCAUGCAAAUAAAACAACCACUAUGGGGU